UGGGGAAUCUUGGACAAUGGGGGCAACCCUGAUCCAGCCAUGCCGCGUGAGUGAUGAAGGCCUUAGGGUCGUAAAGCUCUUUCGCCUGUGAAGAUAAUGACGGUAGCAGGUAAAGAAACCCCGGCUAACUCCGUGCCAGCAGCCGCGGUAAUACGGAGGGGGUUAGCGUUGUUCGGAAUUACUGGGCGUAAAGCGCACGUAGGCGGACCAGAAAGUUGGGGGUGAAAUCCCGGGGGCUCAACCCCGGAACUGCCUCCAAAACUAUUGGUCUAGAGUUCGAGAGAGGUGAGUGGAAUUCCAAGUGUAGAGGUGAAAUUCGUAGAUAUUUGGAGGAACACCAGUGGCGAAGGCGGCUCACUGGCUCGAUACUGACGCUGAGGUGCGAAAAGUGUGGGGAGCAAAACAGGAUUAGAUACCCUGGUAGUCCACACCGUAAAACGAUGAAUGCCAGUCGUCGGGGUAGCAUGCUAUUCGGUGACACACCUAACGGAUUAAGCAUUCCGCCUGGGGAGUACGGUCGCAAGAUU
rnacentral:rRNA from 1 species